rnacentral:tRNA from 1 species
GCCCUCGUAGCUCAGGGGAUAGAGCACUGGCCUCCGGAGCCAGGUGUCGCAGGUUCGAAUCCUGCCGAGGGUACCA